CCUUUGUACACACCGCCCGUCGCUACUACCGAUUGAAUGGCUCAGUGAGGCCUUCGGACUGGCUCAGAAAAGUUGGCAACGACAUUUCAGAGCCGGAAAGUUGGUCAAACUUGGUCAUUUAGAGG
rnacentral:rRNA from 1 species